UGGGGAAUCUUGGACAAUGGGCGCAAGCCUGAUCCAGCCAUGCCGCGUGAGCGAUGAAGGCCUUAGGGUUGUAAAGCUCUUUCACCGGUGAAGAUAAUGACGGUAGCCGGAGAAGAAGCCCCGGCUAACUCCGUGCCAGCAGCCGCGGUAAUACGGAGGGGGUUAGCGUUGUUCGGAAUUACUGGGCGUAAAGCGCACGUAGGCGGACCAGAAAGUUGGGGGUGAAAUCCCGGGGGCUCAACCCCGGAACUGCCUCCAAAACUAUUGGUCUAGAGUUCGAGAGAGGUGAGUGGAAUUCCAAGUGUAGAGGUGAAAUUCGUAGAUAUUUGGAGGAACACCAGUGGCGAAGGCGGCUCACUGGCUCGAUACUGACGCUGAGGUGCGAAAGUGUGGGGAGCAAACAGGAUUAGAUACCCUGGGUAGUCCACACCGUAAAACGAUGCAAUGCCAGUCGUCGGGUAGCAUGCUAUUCGGUGACACACCUAA
rnacentral:rRNA from 1 species